rnacentral:rRNA from 1 species
UUUAAAUUUAAAUGUUUAAAACUCUAGAUAAGUAGUAGAUAAGUACUUAAAAAUUAAAAAAUUUGGCGGUGAUUUAAUCUUUUCAGAGGAACUUGUUUUUUAAAUCGAUAAACCACGCUUGAUCUUACUUAUUUUAGUAUAAUCAGUAUGUAUACCAUCAUUAGCAGGUAAUUUUUAAAGAAAAAAUUACUAAAAAUAAUUAAUUAAAAAAAUUAGAUCAUGGUGCAGCUUAUAAAUAAGAUAAAAUGAGUUACAAUAAAGUUUUUUAUACGAAUUAGUAAAGGAAGCAGUUACUAUAAAGGUGGAUUUGAUUGUAAGUAUGGAUUAAUAAGCUUAUCUGAUAUUGGUGCUAAAUCAUGUACAUAUCGCCCGUCGCUUUCGCUAACCGAAAUAAGUCGUAACAUA